rnacentral:rRNA from 1 species
GACGAACGCUGGCGGUGUGCUUAACACAUGCAAGUCGAACGGUGAAGCUCCAGCUUGCUGGAGUGGAUCAGGGGCGAACGGGUGCGUAACACGUGAGCAACCGGCCCCUGAUUUUGGAAUGAGCGCUGGAAACGGCGCCUAAUACUGGAUACGAGAAGGGCCAGCAUGGGCACCUUCUGGAAAUCUUUUCGGGUGGGGAUGGGCUCGCGGCGGAUCGGUUUGUUGGUUGGGUAAGGGCUGACCAAGGCGGCGAACGGUAGCCGGCCUGAGAGGGCGACCGGCCACACUGGGACUGAGACACGGACCAGACUCCAACGGGAGGCAGCAGUGGGGAAUAUUGCACAGUGGGCGAAAGCCUGAUGCAGCGACGCCGCGUGAGGGAUGACGGCCUUCGGGUUAUAAACCUCUUUCAGCAGGGACGAAGCGAAAGUGACGGUACCUGCAGAAGAAGCACCGGCUAACUACGUG